CCUGUGAGCAGUUGUGGCUUGCAGUUUGCAAGGCAGGAGGUUUUUCAAUGGAAAUCGUGCAAGAAGAGGGUGAGUUCAAGGAAGAGAAAGGAAGCCUUGACUGUAUAGAAGAAGGGAAAACCCAUUGCUGGUGGGGAAAAGGCCGGAACAGGGCUGCAGAUCCAGUGCUCAGCUGCAAAGGAGGAGAGAGUGCCUUCCUUUUAGUUGUAUGUGGAGGAAGGGGAUUUUGAUGUACCCUGAUGAGGCCUCUCUCGAGGCUCGAAUUCAAGGAAAAAGCCACGUCUCAGCUGCAUCGAGUGAUGAAUAUCAAGUGAAAUAGCCUAUCUUCCCUAAAUGCUUACUUGGAGUCAGUAAUGGGCUGGAUGAGGAAAAACAAACUGAGGUUGAAUACAAGGAAGAUGACUGGAAGAUAGGAAGUGGCUUAGAUCUGUCUGUUCUGGAAGGGGUUACACUCCCCCAGAAAGAGUAGAGUUUUCCAGCCAAUUAAAAAUGAAGACCUUUCUAAGCCAAUGCACACACUGGAGCAGCUCUUCACUCCAACCCUGAUAUCUCAACUGCCUUCAAUCAAAAAAAAUCUCAGUCAUCGACUCUGAUUCCAAAAAAGGUGUUUUCUACCUAAGCCUGAACAGGGACUUCCAGUCCAAGACAUGGAUGAUUAUGAACUCAACAGAGCCUCCAGAGACUGCUCCACUCCCAAAAAAGGGAGACCAGAGAAGCCACAUCAACAUCACCCUUCAUUCCUGAACAUGAGGUAGAUCAUGAUCUGCUUCACUUGGAAGGCGAUACCAUCAACCCUAGCUGCUCUCCUCAACACUGACCUCCUCCAGACUGAAGAGCCUCUCCUAUACGAUACUGAUGAUACAGAAGAGAGUCUACAUGAUACCAAUACUCUCCGGGUGUCAGAGAAUCUCCUUGCCAUCGGUACUCUCCAAAACGCUCAUCGGAUUGGGUAUAUUGUGACUGAGAAAGUUGACAUUGAGAUGACUCUACAUCUGAUCAUGCCUGAUCAUUACGCUUACUUCUUCGACAACAGAUAUGGCAUUGAUCAUAGGAAAAACUAUCUCCAGCCUUGCUCUUGGGCUUCACAUCAACACCAAUCUCUGGGGAGAUUGGACCAUCCAGACACUUGGUCCCGAUCACACUCUCCUCAACACUGCAGUACUUGGUCUCAGUCAAGAGAGAAGAGAACUCAACCAUGUAAGCAGCCGGAUGUUGACUCUCUACCACCGGAUUCCUUGACUGAAGAAUCUGCCUCAGAGGAAGAUGCAGAAACAUCCCUGAACAUUGCAUCAGGUUCCACACCUUCAGAUCUAAUGGGAGAUCCAAAGCCUCUGUCUCCAUCAGAGUACCUGAAGUUCUUCACUGACCAAGUGGUCCAUAUGGCUAACUCUUUAGGUAUCCAGAUGAACAAACCUCCUAAAUCUUCUCCUGAUCCCAUUUUUGGGCCAAUUGAUGCGGCCACUUGGCACUCUAACUUCCUUCCACUGAACUCUGCUUGAAUGGACAUUGUCAAAGCUUGCUGGGGGAAACCUGCAUCGUUGCCACCUACUUCUAGGAAGCUGGAAGGUUUUUACAAGGUUCAAGUUAGGGACAGUCAGUUCCUUCUGCACCAUCCUACUCCUAACUCCAUGACAGUUGAAACUGCUCAGUUCCAAUCCAAGAACAGAAUCCUUUUGGCGCUGACAGUAUGAUUCAGUCAAUAUCUGUUGUGGUAGCUCUGCACCAGCACACGUGGAUGUGUUCAACUAGCUUGGCACCUGAAACAAGAACAAGAAUAGUGUCGUGGGCAUGCUGGAAGAGUCCGAGGAGGAGUUGGAAGUGGAGACAGAGCUGAGAGCAGAGGAGGGUGGGCAAGGACCAGAAGUUGCAAAGGAGAGUGGGUGCGACGCACAAGGAGUCAAAGAUGAGUUAGAGCUGGGUGAGGCAGCUCUUGUGGAGGAGGCAUGUCCAGUCUCAGCUGUGGAGAGGCGCCGGACCACGAGACAGCAAGAGUUAAGGAGCCGCGUGCGUAGAAGGACAGGCAAAGCUGCUGACUCAGCAACUCUUAAUUCACAGCACUGGGGGUCAGCCUACAUAAGAUGCUACCCUGCUGAUAGCAACAAGAGUUUCCUGCGAGCUAAUCGGCUGUGUUUGUGUAUUACUUGGACUGUGUUUGGAGCCUGCACUGUGUUGACCUUGCCUGUGGAUUUGGCUUUGGACUCUGUUGGAUUGAUUCGGACUGGACCUGGUUUGGAGAAUGGAUUCCUGUUAGAUUUCGCUCUUCUGCUUCUGCCUCUGUUGUGCUUCGUCUGGCUAGCCUGACAGAUUUACGACAAAGAGAGAACUUGCCUCUUGAUGGCCAGGCUCUUGUUGGAAAGGAUACAAAACGGAAAGGAUACACAAACUGAGAAAGACAGGGAAUUCUAUGAACUCUCAGCAAGCUGCCUACAAUUUUUCAAGGGGUAACAAAUAUUCCUGCUCUUCUUCUGCAACAUCAUUUUGUCCUUCCAACUACUCUCCCUCUGCCGAUCAUUCCCUUCAUCCUUCUCAGAUCUCCCAAUUUCAAAAAAGACAGGACUCAUUUGGGAAAGCCCAACAUCCCAAAUCUAAACCAUCAGUAUAUCACCAAUCUAAACCAUCGAUGUACAGCUCAUGACUCAAGGAUCUGCAAAUAUUCUUCCUUACAGCAAUGAUGUGGACUUGGGGUUUUUUGUUCAGGACUACACGACCGAUAUUUCCCCAGUAUUUCAGAAGGCAGGAUUACUACUAAAGCACAAGUUUGGCAAGACUGGUGGAUAGUAUACAACUGCUUGUCUGUAGUCUUUUGCUCCUCUUGGGGAACCCCUCCUUUCAAAGUGUCUGCAAUACAAAUUGACCACAAAAUGUUACAGGGAGAAUGUUUUGUGCCCUCCUCCUCCUCACACAACAUUGAUGUGCACAGAUACCUCAGAAGCCCUGUUCAGACAUUAUGUUGUACUAGUUCAAGAUCUCUGUACACUUGUAGAUGGUUUUCUGUGAAUGACUGUAUGGGGUUCAUUUUUAAAGGGAACCUGGGUACUGGACCCUCAAAUGUAUGAUACAGAUAGGAAGUGUACUGCUGUCCCUGUGUCCAAUGUAACAUGUCUAUCACUCUAACUGUACACAGAUCUUUGCCUGCAUACACUGUACCCUCAUUGUACAGAUAUUGAACAUAACAUACGAAUCAAGCUACUGAGUUCUCAACCUUCUGUUGAACUGUAGCAUGCUAAGAAGCAAAAUCCAUGAUGGGGCCAUGUGGAUAGGAGCAGGCUUGGUUUUGGUUUAGCUGUCACCCCACUGACGUGCCUGAGUGCGCCUCCUCACUUCCCCCCAUAUCAGUGCACCAUUUCUGUCCACUCCAAUGGGCAAACGUACAGUGCUGGACUUGGAAAGGCGAUUGCUCUGAAGGGGAAAUGUCCCUUCUAUCCAGAGGCGUCGUGUCCCAGCCCUCAGUGACAUGGAUGCAUCUGUUAUCAAGCUCAGGGUCUUGUUAGUCUCUAAUCUUGUGCUUGUUUUGUGCCUGAGUCGUCUCCUCAGGCACAAAACGAAUACUGGUGAAUGUUGAUGCUGGGGGUCUCAACAAAUUCAAUGGCAUGAGCAUUCUUAUAUACAACAAACACUAGAGAAAAAGCAAUGUUCUUUCAAGCCUGAUUCUUCACGUUGACUGUAAAAGGUUUCCGGGCCAAAUACAAAGUGCUGGUUAUAACCUAUAAAGCCCUAAACAGCUUAGGCUUACGGUAUUUAAGAGAGCGUCUUCUUCUGCAUGAUCCCCAUCGUCCCCAUCGUUCAUCAGGGGAGGCUCGUCUGUGGCUACCUUCAUGUCGUUUGGUGGCCACCCGGGGACGGGCCUUCUCUGUUGUCACCCCGAGACUUUGGAAUGCACUUCCUGUGGGAAUAAGAGUCUCCCCAUCUCUAGUGGCUUUUAAAAGGGGUCUAAAGACUUAUCUUUUUACCCAAGCUUUUUAACUUUUUAACUUUUUAAAACUUUUGAUUGUUAUUAUUUAUUUUAAAUUGUUUUCAGUAUUUGUUUGUUGUGAACCUGAGACCUUGGGUUAGGGCGGUAUAAAAAUGUGCUAAAUAAAUAAAUAAAUA